AGGACUUAAUAAGUAUUUGCAUUGACUUAAUAAGUUUCUGAGGUUAGAGCCUGGAAAUGUGUAUUUUCUAAACUCCACAGGUGAUUCUGAAGUGACUACGAAUAACAACCACUGAUUAAAAUAUAUGUGGAACAUAGCAAUAUGUUAAUUACGCAGCUUUAAAAAGAAGAGGUUAAUCUGCGCUGGGAUUUUAAAAGACAGCUUCCCAGAAGACGUGAGAUUUGGAUGAAAAGUCAGAUAUGGACAGAAGGUGAUGAAGUGUAUUUUUUUGGAAGGUGAGAAUGGGAUUAUGGUUACCAAGAAACCUCAGGGACUUUCCUGAACAUACACAAAAGCCAAAUUACAAAGACCAUAUGCUUCACAACUCUCUAGAUGCUCCACUUAGAGGAAUACAAACAAAUUGA
rnacentral:lncRNA from 1 species